GCUCCGGUGGUGGAAUCGGUAGACACUACAGACUUAAAAUCUGUUGCCCGUCAGGGCGUGCCGGUUCAAGUCCGGCCCGGAGCACCA
rnacentral:tRNA from 1 species